UACGUAGGGGGCAAGCGUUGUCCGGAAUUACUGGGCGUAAAGGGCGCGUAGGCGGCCUGUUAAGUCGAACGUGAAAUCCCCGGGCUCAACCCGGGAACUGCGUCCGAUACUGGCAGGCUUGAAUUCGGGAGAAGGAUGCGGAAUUCCAGGUGUAGCGGUGAAAUGCGUAGAUAUCUGGAGGAACACCGGUGGCGAAGGCGGCAUCCUGGACCGAGAUUGACGCUGAUGCGCGAAAGCCAGGGGAGCAAACGGG
rnacentral:rRNA from 1 species